UUAUGUAAUAGGUAAUGUUUACGUUUUUCAGUGUAAUUUAAAAGAAAAUUGUGAAAUUUUGUCUUUAUUCCUCAUUUACGCAAUUGUUACCUAGUAUUAUAGAUAAAUGUUAAUCAAGUGAAAAGUUUAAACCAAUUACAACCGUUUUUCGGAGUAUUGUGGGCUAUACUUUGUAAAGUUCCUGCACAAGUUCAACUUCUACCAAUUUUACAUCAAGAAUACAGUUUAAAAAUGUUAUACUCUCGAUUAUACUUCUGCAUAGGAUAGGACUGCAGAUCCUAACUACGUAAUAUAUAAAGCAAUUCUGAAAGUCUAAACAAAAGCAACGGGUGAGCAUUUUGCAACCCUCAUUCUUAGAAUCCUGCUUUUGCUUCUGUUUUAACUAGUUCUUCCCACUUAUCAGUCACGGGGCUGAAAUUGUGAAACUCACAUGAUGGACGUAGAGAGCCCCACGCAAGGACAAUGUGGACAGAAAUAACUGCUUGAAAUUCAAAUUUCUAUCCUAUUAAAUGGGUAAGACUAAGAAUCUAUCAGGCGACGUGGAAGGAGCCCAUGCAAGGACAAUAAGAGCAGAAGUAACCGGGGCUAAGACUCUCAAAAUCUAUCAAGCGACGUGGAAGGAGCCCCAUGCAAGGACCAAUACAAAUAAUUGCAACAACGAAGAACGCAAUGUU